rnacentral:tRNA from 1 species
GGAGGGAUGGCCGAGUGGUCGAUGGCGGCGGUCUUGAAAACCGUUGGCCCCGCAAGGGGCUCGGGGGUUCGAAUCCCUCUCCCUCCG